AUCUUUAACAAGCAAAUUCAAUGACUCUCUUUCUUCAAGUUUUCUAUUCUACAUAAGCCAUCUCUCGACCGAACUGCUCCAUCUAAUUACUGUCCCACAUCCCUACUCCUUUUAACGCAAAGUUUCUUGAACGACUUGUUUGUACCCACCUGACCAAUUUUCACAACUCUGUAUCCUGGUUCUCCUUCAGCUUGGCUUUCACCCCUUACAUUCUAC